rnacentral:rRNA from 1 species
GACGAACGCUGGCGGCGUGCCUAACACAUGCAAGUAGAACGCAGUUGCGAACGGGUGAGUCACGCGUCGGUAACUGCCUCAUAGCGGGGGAUAACUAUUGGAAAAGAUAGCUAAUCCCGCAUAAGUUGUGCUGGACCUGCGUUGUAUUGGCUUGUUGUUUAGGUAAAGGCUAACCAAGGCGACGAUACAUAGCCGACCGGAGAGGGGGAUCGGCCACACUGGGACUGAGACACGGCCCAGACUCCUACGGGAGGCAGCAGUAGGGAAACUUCGGCAAUGGACGGAAGUCUGACCUAGCAACGCCGCGGGGGUGAAGAAGGUUUUCGGAUCGUAAAGCUCUGUUGUUAGAGAAGCGUUAACUAACCAGAAAGGGACGGCUAACUACGUGCCAGCGGCCGCGGUAAUUC